UACGUAGGGUGCAAGCGUUGUCCGGAAUUAUUGGGCGUAAAGAGCUCGUAGGCGGCUUGUCACGUCUGCUGUGAAAACUCGGGGCUCAACCCCGAGCCUGCAGUGGAUACGGGCUAGCUAGAGUGCGGUAGGGGAGACUGGAAUUCCUGGUGUAGCGGUGAAAUGCGCAGAUAUCAGGAGGAACACCGGUGGCGAAGGCAGGUCUCUGGACCGAUACUGACGCUGAGGAGCGAAAGCGUGGGGAGCGAACAGG
rnacentral:rRNA from 1 species